ensembl:lncRNA
GUGGUCUUUCAAAAUAUAGAAUGGCUGCAUAGGUAUGCAGUGUUCUUUCUGGUGUUGUCAAAACAUCCCAGAUGAUUCUGCCACCUGGAAGAGACAUCAUAUGAGCCACCAGGUGGAAUCUGAAAAGUACUUCAGAAAGGCAGUAUUGGGCAACAGUGCUCCUUGAUUAAAAGAUUGUCAUGGUUUUAUGAUUUUUGUGCUACUUCUUAGUAGCUCAGGAUUUUGCCUUCUUUCCAGUGCAAGAUUUUCAAAAACAGUGUUUACAUUCCCAGAAAGCAUUGAAAAAGACAUCAGUUAAACCUACUGAGGAUGUUGUAAGAUAGUACUAUGAAACUUACGUGUUUUUUUUCUCCUUUAUCUAUUGUCAUUGCCUGGAAUUUUUCCAAGAAUUGAACCUGAAAGAACUAAUGGGAGAAGAUUGGGACCAGCCUGAAUCUGAUAUCCUGGGAGUGAGAAACACUUCUAAGGUGCAAGUCAAAGUCUGAAGUCCAGUGCUGUUGUUGAAGAGCACCAAUGCUUCAGUUCCUUGUUCACUAUGGGCCUCUCCUGCUUCAGUUCUGAAAACAUCAAACACCACCUGCAAGCCUGACAAGCAGCGGGACAUAAGUGAUGCGCCCCGUAAUCUGUUCAAAGUCUCUUGUACAGUAACACUUCUGUUUCUUUGAAACCACAAAGCUUUUUGUUUGUUUGUUUUUAAUUUCUGAUGGAUUAUGGUUCUGGGAAUUGCCAAAUCUCUUUAAAUUGAGGGUUUUUUUUUUUUUUGAGAACCUGUAUGCUGUUUUUUUGUUUGUUUUUUUUCUCUUGGUAGUAUGUAAAUUUUUCUGUGUGUGUGUGUGCUAUUCACACACUGACUGAGAAUGCUAUUAGUUGAAUUGUUCUGGAGAACAAAUUGCCCACGGUAAUACUACACGCUAUAAUGCCAUUGGUAUAUACAAUAUAUGCUAUGCUUCUCUUAUAUGCUAAUUAUACUAUUUCUUUUACAUUAUGGCUCCCCUAAGACCAGUGAAGUCACGUAAUUCAGAACUACCAGGACAUCCUAAGCAGUCUGCAGGUUGUGAAUGAGUAGGCCAGCUCCUGAAUGCCAUUUUCAUGGGGGACUUAUCAGAAAACUCUAUGGGGAAAACUGCUGGCAGUUGCUAAUGCCUGGGAAAUGGGCUAUUUAAUACAUGGCAGAGUUAAAAGAACCCAAGGAGAGCAUUUUGAUAAGACUAGGGAAGGAAACAGCCCACAGGAAUACUGAUGAACUGGAGGUAGGAAGUGUUCCCAGUUCUCAAAAUGUUUUGUUGUAUUUCUGACUGUAACUCUUUUCUCGGGAAGAGAGGUGGAGUGGUUGGAUAGGUGUUUGUCUGUAGCUUGCCUGCUGUUAUCUAAAACAACUUGUAUUUUUCUACUUGUGCAUUCUUAUGGAGCAAUUCCUUUGAAGUUAUCAUGCAUUAAGCAUUAUAUUAGUAAUUGUAGAGAAUUUUGAGUUUGUAAUGCUUUGAAAGCUAAGUAAAAUCACCUCUAGGACAUCACUGGUAUUGCUUCUACACAUACAUAACAGUACUUUGCUGAUACAGCCUAUCUGACUAAAGUGAAAUAAUGCUUCCUUUGUAGUGUUUAGGGUACAGGACUUAAUCAGCCUGUACUUCUAAACUUCAAGAUAGGAACAAGUAUUUUUUCUGGUUUGUUUUAUUUUCUUGAGCAACAGCUUUUGUUUCAUAAACAGUGAAUUGCUGCUUAUAGCAUACAAGUGUGCAGCACCGAUCUGUAACAAUAACUCAGUUACUGAAAUAUUGGCAAGAAUAGGGAUGGCUGUGGUAACCCAAGUGUAGUGUAGAAGUAGCAGAAUGGUAGGAAUCUUGAGAAAACAAACAAUGUCUGUGUCCUGCUGAGCGUGCUGGUCAACUCAGGCUUAUAACAUGCUGGAUACUUUUCUACUUUUCAUCAUCACAGCAGUGAAAGCAAUUGUUUUAUUACUUACAUGCGUAGUAGUUUUGUAUUACAAUUUCAAUUAGCUUAGUUUUAAUAACCUAUUAAAUUUUACUAGCAGAUACAGUAAAAAUUAAAACAAGGAACUUCAAGGCAUGUUUUCAGAGGUUCCUGUUCUUAAACUUGGGGAAAUAAUUUCCCUGCUCCUCAUCUUCUGUGCAGAAGCUCUUGCACAAGGGACAGUGGAUUGAGUUUCCCCAAGCUCAAUGCUAGAGUUAACUGAAAGCCCAGAGUUGCAGGUCUGUCACUGCUUCUGAAACUGCUCUUCUAUCUGUUCUGUUUUCUCAUUCACUGUGUUCUGUUGUGAGAAUGUUGAUCCUGAAGUAGAAUAUGAGCUUGAAAGUGCUAUAAUUUAAAGUUACAGUUGAUGUAAUGGAUGUAUUUCUGUUGCAUGCGUAGUAUUUAAGACUAAUAGACUUGGUUUGUUUGUUUGUUUUUCCUACCCACGAUGUAAGAUAAGUCAGCAGAAACCUCUAAUAAGCUCUUAUAUUUUUCUCCAGUGCUGCUGUUGUCUGCUGUUGUGGGCAGUAGAAAUAAGCUGUUUUAUGUAGUUUACACUAUCUGUGGUAUUGGAUCUGCAGAAUUUAAUGAAAUUAUAAAUUCUAAACUGUCUCGCUGCCAUGCUUCUUAUUUUUCCCCUACAUCUUAGUAAAUACUUGUGCAGUUGAGUCCAAAUGCAGAGUUGAAUAGUUAAAAUCUCUUAUUUGGGAACUAAUGAGACUGAAUGACCCUGCAAACAAAAGUCCUGAGCUUGAUGAAUGAAAAAUAUACCUGUGAAGAGCACUUCAGCUUGUUUCAGUAAUUUUAUCUCGAGUGCAUUUGUAAACUCCUUGUGGUAGCAUGUCUAACGCCUGUGAAUUUAAACAUGAAGGUCAAGAUUCUACUUAGCCCUUCCUGCCAUGUCGUUGUUAGUGAAGAAUUUCCAGAGUUGUCGUCUGGGAACUUCCUCAGGCUGCGCUCCCGAAGACCUUGCUUUGUACACUUCUUGCCACUAGGUGGAGGAAGCCGGUCGCAAAGCUCCCUCCUGGCACUGUCAGACCGGUCAUCCGUAAUCGGAUCCACUCCUCGUCUUCCUCAACAGCAGAGUGCCUCAUUUGCCAGAAACAAAAUUUGAUAUUGUUCGUUCACGCUAUCCAAGCCUUUUCUAAAAUGGACUUCGUUGCAAGUAAUUACAGUGCAUUUGUAAUGAUACUACUGAAAUUGGAUAGUUAACCUGUAUUUCUUGUACUGAUGAUUCCUUCAUUCUGCUGUCAGUGAGUGCGUUGGUUUACUAUCUUGUCUCUGAACAGUGCUUCAGCAAAAGCCCUAGGAAGUGCUUUAAGCCUAAUUACAGAGCCCUUAUUUACACUGGUUGUAUAAACAGCUCUACUCAUACUCCUACAAAUAGUCCCAGUGAGAUCAAUGCAACUGUUAACACGAGAAAGUAAAUCACAAUCAUGUCUCUUUUCCACUUACUUUUCUACCCCUUGAAAUCAGAAUAUCUGUAUUACCCAGGGAAUCCAGUUCUAGAAGCUACUUCUAUAUUAGCAUAAUGCUGGGCACUGCUUUUUUUCUUUCCUUGGGCCUAAAGCAAGGAAAAAGCUUUGGCUGCACUGUCCAUGGGAGGGUUUUAAUUGGUGAUGCAGAAAGCUGAUUGCACCUGCGUUCACUAUGGAUGUAUCAAAAUGUGCUCUUUAUGUAUUUUCAGAAAUGUUGUGGGAUACCACAAAGUACAGAAAUAUUC